UCCUUUCUAGGGCCUGGGUUUCUUCCUUUAUCUUGUCAGUGUGGUUGUUUAUUUCCCUCCUUGGUUAUUUCUUCCCCACAAAUCACUAUAAUAAGAACAAUUUCACACAGAGUGAACAUUCACAUGGAGUCAAGUUCUUUGCUGAGGCCUGUACCUGUUUCCUCUAAGCCACCUCUCUGCUUUGAAAACAGUUCCCUCUCUCUGCUUCUGAGCUCAUGAGGGGAGUCACUCAGGCGUCAGCAUCCAAACCACAGGGAAGACUCAUCGACCGACCCCACGGCCUGCUUUGGGGGAUGGUGCAUGUGGUGAUAUUUCUGCCAUGUGAAGAAGGUGCUUUCUUCCUCCUCACUUUCUGCUAUGAUGGAUUUUUAAGCCAAGCCCAUGAGAACUGUUACAGGAUGUAUGUAAUAAAAAGACCUCCCAGCUUCUACUCCUGCUCCGGUGUGCAGGGACAAGCUGUGUCUGUGACUUAACACCCUCCACGUCUGGCCUUGAUUUCUUUGGCUCUCCAGAACCUACGGGAAGAUCAAGAAAUGUCACUUCUGAG